rnacentral:rRNA from 1 species
CUGUAAGCCUGUGAAGGUGUGCUGUGAGGCAUGCUGGAGGUAUCAGAAGUGCGAAUGCUGACAUAAGUAACGAUAAAGCGGGUGAAAAGCCCGCUCGCCGGAAGACCAAGGGUUCCUGUCCAACGUUAAUCGGGGCAGGGUGAGUCGACCCCUAAGGCGAGGCCGAAAGGCGUAGUCGAUGGGAAACAGGUUAAUAUUCCUGUACUUGGUGUUACUGCGAAGGGGGGACGGAGAAGGCUAUGUUGGCCGGGCGACGGUUGUCCCGGUUUAAGCGUGUAGGCUGGUUUUCCAGGCAAAUCCGGAAAAUCAAGGCUGAGGCGUGAUGACGAGGCACUACGGUGCUGAAGCAACAAAUGCCCUGCUUCCAGGAAAAGCCUCUAAGCAUCAGGUAACAUCAAAUCGUACCCCAAACCGACACAGGUGGUCAGGUAGAGAAUACCAAGGCGCUUGAGAGAACUCGGGUGAAGGAACUAGGCAAAAUGGUGCCGUAACUUCGGGAGAAGGCACGCUGAUAUGUAGGUGAAGUCCCUCGCGGAUGGAGCUGAAAUCAGUCGAAGAUACCAGCUGGCUGCAACUGUUUAUUAAAAACACAGCACUGUGCAAACACGAAAGUGGACGUAUACGGUGUGACGCCUGCCCGGUGCCGGAAGGUUAAUUGAUGGGGUCAGCGCAAGCGAAGCUCUUGAUCGAAGCCCCGGUAAACGGCGGCCGUAACUAUAACGGUCCUAAGGUAGCGAAAUUCCUUGUCGGGUAAGUUCCGACCUGCACGAAUGGCGUAAUGAUGGCCAGGCUGUCUCCACCCGAGACUCAGUGAAAUUGAACUCGCUGUGAAGAUGCAGUGUACCCGCGGCAAGACGGAAAGACCCCGUGAACCUUUACUAUAGCUUGACACUGAACAUUGAGCCUUGAUGUGUAGGAUAGGUGGGAGGCUUAGAAGUGUGGACGCCAGUCUGCAUGGAGCCGACCUUGAAAUACCACCCUUUAAUGUUUGAUGUUCUAACGUUGACCCGUAAUCCGGGUUGCGGACAGUGUCUGGUGGGUAGUUUGACUGGGGCGGUCUCCUCCUAAAGAGUAACGGAGGAGCACGAAGGUUGGCUAAUCCUGGUCGGACAUCAGGAGGUUAGUGCAAUGGCAUAAGCCAGCUUGACUGCGAGCGUGACGGCGCGAGCAGGUGCGAAAGCAGGUCAUAGUGAUCCGGUGGUUCUGAAUGGAAGGGCCAUCGCUCAACGGAUAAAAGGUACUCCGGGGAUAACAGGCUGAUACCGCCCAAGAGUUCAUAUCGACGGCGGUGUUUGGCACCUCGAUGUCGGCUCAUCACAUCCUGGGGCUGAAGUAGGUCCCAAGGGUAUGGCUGUUCGCCAUUUAAAGUGGUACGCGAGCUGGGUUUAGAACGUCGUGAGACAGUUCGGUCCCUAUCUGCCGUGGGCGCUGGAGAACUGAGGGGGGCUGCUCCUAGUACGAGAGGACCGGAGUGGACGCAUCACUGGUGUUCGGGUUGUCAUGCCAAUGGCACUGCCCGGUAGCUAAAUGCGGAAGAGAUAAGUGCUGAAAGCAUCUAAGCACGAAACUUGCCCCGAGAUGAGUUCUCCCUGAC